CUGCCUAUCGGAGCAGCCUCCCAACUCCUACUUGCGUGCAAGCAGGAGUGGGGCGGGGAUCUCUCAGGCAAUGGAAACCUCCCUUCCCAGCUGAGGGUUCCCCGCCCCCUCCUGCUUGCACGCAAGUAGGAAUGGGAUUGGGGCUGCUCUGAUAGGAAG